UUAGUUUUUAGUGUAAAAGCACAUUAAAUUUUGAUUUUAAUAGAAAUAAUAAUAAAUAAUUAAAACUAAU
rnacentral:tRNA from 1 species